AUCUUGUUUUCUGUAGUCCCAUGAGCUCCGAUGAGCAGGAAGGACCUCUUUGAUCUGUGAGGACUGGGGAGCAGGCUAAGUUCCCUGGGCACCCAUGUCCCGAGCACACUUGUAAGAGGCUGGACUUGGUCUUGGUCUUGGGGAGUAAGGCUUUGGAUCAUUCAGAAUGAGGCAGCAUUUGACAUCAAAGUGGUCACCUCCACAGCCGGUUUGUCCUGCUUAAUACUCAGAAGGAAGCAGAGGGACCAUCAGCCACCCGCAGAGAGCCUAUGGUCUACCUCCUAUGAAAGAAUGCACGAGCAGGUGAGGAGUCCUGACGAGAGUUCAGCGAGACAACUGGAGUCCAGAAGAUCUGGGGUCCAUAUCAGUGGCCUGGGCUGAGUUGGGAGACCUGGAAGAACUAAGAAGGAGACAAGGAACAUCAGUACACCACCUCUCACACUAGAGAUGCUCCACCUCCAACAUACUCAGCUGACUCUGCUGACUCCCUGGAUCUUCCUGAGCUGAUCCAGCCAGCUAAAGCACUUCCAUGUUCUCUGGGGUCUCAUUUUACCACCACUGAGGAAUCCUGGAAGGUUUCACCACGCCAGGAUUAAGUGGAAACCAGAAGCUGGUGGCUGGCUGCGAUGUGCAUCGUAGGCACAGUGGUCGGCUGCUUGCUCCAAUCCAGCCUCCAAAGGACGAGGGAAACCUUGGAAGUCACAGAACAAGAAAAGGACCUUCGACUCUUCUUGUGUUUUGCAUACUGGGAGUUGGGAAGAUGUCUGACACCUUUUUCUUUUACUGGCUAAAUACCAAGAGUAAGCCAGACAUUUAUGGUAAAUGGCCUCUUCACCAAGAGCAAAAAGACUUUUCAGCUUAACACAGUAAAACAAGGAAAGGAAGACAGGGCUGAUGGCUAAUGAGAGUCUGUGGAGAGACAUGUGGGUUCAAGAUAAUCCCACAGGGACUGACCUGUUCUCUGCCCAUCUUCACUGUGACUCUUGCUAAUGACAGAAAUGUAAAUUUGGGGUCCACGGGUCACAUCCAAAAGCAAGCCUGCCACUCUUACAAUUGAGAGCUCAUUUCCAGGAGCAGGGGAUAUUAUUUCAUUCCUGUAGGGAUGUCUCAGACCUUUGAGCUGACUACUUCCUGUCUUAACUUUGAAGGAAGUGGCUGACACAUAAAACCAUUUCUUAGUGGUUUUAAUAAAUGUUCUAUUUUCCCCCACACAAUGGGAACUGGUUACCUCUCCAAAUUUCACUUCGAGCAUCUUUAAGAACACAGAACUUGGCUUUCGGUCCACAUGUUAGUGCCUCCAAAUGUUAGAGGGUCUCUGAAGGCUCCGACCCUUCUCAUCUGUCAGUGUCUUGGAAAAGCGUGUUGUUACACUGAUCUCCCUGGAAUCUCAGAGGACAAAUGAAAGAUGUGUUGAGAUUGGAGGACUCAAGGCAGUGAGUGCCAAGGGGUUGUUUUCUGCUUUCCACGUCUCCAGGGGAUGUGAUAGACUUGCCAGAGUUCCAAGUUCGGACAUCUGGACUCGGCCCCCGAUUUUGUGGCUGGCUAAGACAUACAGUUAUUUGUUUUGUUUCUCAUCUGUAAAAUGGGAGCAAAUGAAGCCUGUUACUUGCUGGACACUCCCAUGGAAGAGAGUAGACAAAAAGCUAUUUUCAGACUUUCAGUCCCAAGAAGACAUUUCAGCUAAUAAUUUGUACCCUUGAAAUAAAAGGUAAAAGGAAAAUGUUUUGUACCAAA
rnacentral:lncRNA from 1 species